UACGUAGGUGACCAGCGUUGUCCGGAUUUACUGGGCGUAAAGAGCGCGCAGGCGGUCGUUCAAGUCGAGUGUGAAAGCCCCCGGCUCAACUGGGGAGGGUCAUUCGAUACUGAUCGACUUGAAGGCAGGAGAGGGAAGUGGAAUUCCCGGUGUAGUGGUGAAAUGCGUAGAUAUCGGGAGGAACACCAGUGGCGAAGGCGACUACCUGGGCAUUAUCUGACGCUGAGGCGCGAAAGCGUGGGUAGCAAACAGG
rnacentral:rRNA from 1 species